GCUUCGUGUAGGUAUCCUCGAUUCGCGGAAAUUCGACAGUUGACCGGGUCUGCAAAUUUCGGGCCAGACAGACCCGUUACCGGAAAAGUCUCCGAAUUGGACCGAGGUUUUGGCUAGCCCCCCAUUGUCAAACGUCCCGAGCGCGUUCCCGAAGUCGGAAUCGGCAAAGGUGAGCCGGGACAGCCUUCUUCCUCCGCCCAGCCGCCACAGUAAUUUGUCGUCAAGUUUGCCACAGGAGGAUAUUUUGUUCUGGGUUAACCUGCUUUUCUACUUCGCAGGUUGUUUAUCAGUAUUUGUGUAAUUUUAUUUACUCCUAGAAUUUCCGCAUGUGUUAGCAGUGAUUAUUUGAAUUUGGUCUGUAAUAUUAUUAUCAUGUUGGACCUGUAAACUUAAUACUCUAUGUCUGUUUGAUGGAUUGGAUGAGGGAGCUGAGCUCCCAUUUCUUUUA